AUAAACAUGAUUCUUUUAGUAAUGGCGAAUGAACAAAGACAUGGUCAUUUUGAAAAUUGUGGUCUUAGAUCAUGAAUUGUAUUUUCAAAAUGCAUUGCUAACACAACUGCACAUGUUUGUUUAUUGGAAAGAACAUCACAAAGGGUGACAAUCCCAUGUGUCAUGUGUAUGUUUUGUGUACAGUGUGCAUUAUAUGAAUCACAUUCAUUGACAAUUGAAUGCAAAUAGAAUGGUAAAUUUCAUUUAAUCAUAAAUAUGUUGUUGACAACUUAUAGCAAACAAAUACCAUGAGGGAAAUGUGAAAAGGAUUUUGAAAAGAAAAUUAAAAGAGCUUGCAAUUGCUGAACUGAUAAGCAAACAAAACAUACGUGUGUAUGCAAGAUUGUUGUAAUGCUUAGCAUCUUUUGCAAGGUUAUUGCAAUGAUUUUUUGUAUAGUGAUGCUACCUUUUUUUGGAAUUUGGAAUGUCUUUUUUUGAGUGUGAAUGGAAUUUUGUUUGUUAGCAAAGGAAUGCACUUUUAGAUUCAUUGUUUGAUUUGAUUUAAAAAUGUUUGUGACACAUGUCUUUGUGUUAGUUUCAUGAUUCAACCAAGGACAUUGUGUUUGAUCCAUGUCAGCAAUACAUGUUUUGUUUGACCCGUCUUGAAACACGGACCAAGGAGUUUAAUUUAUGUGCAAGAUCAUGAAACUGACAUUUGUAUAUCAAUGAAAAUAUUUUGUUGGGAUUUGUGCACCAACAACUGAUAAGUUGUGUGACGCGACGUUGAGUUUGAGCAUGUUGAUUAAAACCCGAAAGAUGGUGAACUAUGCCUGAACAGAAUGAAGUCAGAGGAAACUCUGAUGGAAGUUCGUAUCGAUACUGACGUGCAAAUCGUUCGUCAUACUUGGGUAUAGG
rnacentral:rRNA from 1 species